GAAUUUUGGGGCUGUAUUUCUUGUUAAACACCCACUCAACGGAGAUGAAUUGGAGCUGGAGGGGGAUUUUUAUGGGGCUAUGGCAGCUCUGAGGAGUCCUCCCCAUUCCCACAAAUCCUGGCACCAGUGGGCCACUGCAGGGAGGGGCUGAUGGCACAAAUCAGGAGAGAAUGGGAAUAUUCCUUAGGGAACUAAGCAUGGAGCCAAAUGCUCCUCUGCCAGUGUUUGUAGGGGGUUGUAGGCCAGGAAUUGUGGGCUACUGGGAAUGUUUGAUGCCAUCCCAAAAAACAAAGAGAUUGGAGAGAGUUAGGCAUGUCCAGUGGUGAGAGCUGGAUUGGAGGGGAGGGGUGGAUGUGUCGGGCGUGUUGGAUGCGUUGGGGGUCUUGGAUGUGUUGGGAAUGCCGGAUGUGUUGGAAUGUUAGGUGUGUUGGGAAUGUUGGAUGUGUCGGGAAUGUUGGGUGUGUCAGGAAUGUUGGGUGUGUCAGGAAUGUUGGGAGUAUUGGAAUGUUGGGUGUGUCAGGAAUGUUGGAUGUGGUGGAAUGUUGGGUGUGUUGGAAUGUUGGAUGUGUUGGAAUGUUGGGUGUGUCAGGAAUGUUGGGUGUGUCAGGAAUGUUGGGUGUGUCAGGAAUGUUGGGUGUGCUGGAAUGUUGGGUGUGCCUGGACUGUUGUGUGUGUCAGGAAUGCUGGGUGUGUCAG
rnacentral:lncRNA from 12 species